GAUGAAGAACGUAGCGAAAUGCGAUAAGUAAUGUGAAUUGCAGAAUUCAGUGAAUCAUCGAAUCUUUGAACGCACAUUGCGCCCGCCAGUAUUCUGGCGGGCAUGCCUGUUCGAGCGUCAUUUUCAUCAUCAAGCUCUGCUUGUGUUGGGGUCCUGCGGCUGCCCGCAGGCCCUGAAACCCAGUGGCGGGCUCGCUAGUCACACCGAGCGCAGUAGCACAUCUCGCUCAGGGCGUGCGGCGGGUUCUUGCCGUAAAACAACCCCCCCUUUUCACCAAGGUUGACCUCGGAUCAGGUAGGAAUACCCGCUGAACUUAAGCAUAUCAAUAAGCGGAGGA
rnacentral:misc_RNA from 1 species